UAGUCAUAUGCUUGUCUCAAAGAUUAAGCCAUGCAUGUCUAAGUAUAAACUGCUUUAUACUGUGAAACUGCGAAUGGCUCAUUAAAUCAGUUAUAAUUUAUUUGAUGGUACUUACUUACUCGGAUACCCGUAGUAAUUCUAGAGCUAAUACGUGCGUACAUCCCGACUUCUGGAAGGGACGUAUUUAUUAGAUAAAAGGCCGACCGGGCUUGCCCGACUCGCGGUGACUCAUGAUAACUUCACGAAUCGCAUGGCCUUGCGCCGGCGAUGUUUCAUUCAAAUUUCUGCCCUAUCAACUUUUGAUGGUGGGAUAGAGGCCUACCAUGGUGGUAACGGGUGACGGAGAAUUAGGGUUCGAUUCCGGAGAGGGAGCCUGAGAAACGGCUACCACAUCCAAGGAAGGCAGCAGGCGCGCAAAUUACCCAAUCCUGAUACAGGGAGGUAGUGACAAUAAAUAACAAUACCGGGCCUUUGGUCUGGUAAUUGGAAUGAGUACAACCUAAACACCUUAACGAGGAUCAAUU
rnacentral:rRNA from 1 species